UGGAGAUGCAGUUUGAGUAGCUGGCAGCCUCCCUGUUUCACUUCUCCCCCGAGGUGCGACACCUCCCUGCUGGCUGUGCCAAGGACAUCACAGUAACCUUGGAAUCAAAUGUUCCAGUCACAUUCAGAGCGCACCCUGUAAAGUGUCAGGUGACCAGGAUUGCCUUCCAGCUGCCAGCAGAGGAGGUGACUGACUGGGAUGAGCAUCUGCACACUGUAAAGGGGAUGGAUAACACGAGGGACCCAGCAGCCGCGUGCCUUGUCGAGGAGAAGGACCUUCAUGGUUAUGAACCCAACCAGUUCUACAUAUUCCUUCCAGUGGACUUGCCGAGACCCUGAAGCCCCAUUGAGACAGGCAGCCGCCUUCUGCCUCACAGAGAGAGGUCAGAUCCAGCC